AUUGAACGCUGGCGGCAUGCCUUACACAUGCAAGUCGAACGGUAACAGGUCUUCGGAUGCUGACGAGUGGCGAACGGGUGAGUAAUACAUCGGAACGUGCCCGAGAGUGGGGGAUAACGAAGCGAAAGCUUUGCUAAUACCGCAUACGAUCUCAGGAUGAAAGCAGGGGACCGCAAGGCCUUGCGCUCACGGAGCGGCCGAUGGCAGAUUAGGUAGGUGGUGGGAUAAAAGCUUACCAAGCCGACGAUGUGUAGCUGGUCUGAGAGGACGACCAGCCACACUGGGACUGAGACACGGCCCAGACUCCUACGGGAGGAAGCAGUGGGGAAUUGUGGAUAAUGGGCGCAAGCCUGAUCCAGCCAUGCCGCGUGCAGGAUGAAGGCCUUCGGGUUGUAAACUGCUUUUGUACGGAACGAAAAGACUCCUUCUAAUAAAGGGGGUCCAUGACGGUACCGUAAGAAUAAGCACCGGCUAACUACGUGCCAGCAGCCGCAGUAAUAC
rnacentral:rRNA from 1 species